rnacentral:pre_miRNA from 1 species
GUUACCCUCUCAGUCUUCACUGUAGGCCUUGACGUGUAAUACAAUUCGUAAGGCACGCGGUGAAUGCUAAAUGGGGUAAUU